rnacentral:rRNA from 1 species
CUACGGGCCGCUGCAGUGGGGAAUAUUGCACAAUGGAGGAAACUCUGAUGCAGCAACGCCGCGUGGAGGAUGACACUUUUCGGAGCGUAAACUCCUUUUAUAUAGGAAGAAGAUGACGGUACUAUAUGAAUAAGCGCCGGCUAACUCCGUGCCAGCAGCCGCGGUAAUACGGAGGGCGCAAGCGUUACUCGGAAUCACUGGGCGUAAAGAGCGUGUAGGCGGAUUAAAAAGUCAGAAGUGAAAUCCUAUAGCUUAACUAUAGAACUGCUUCUGAAACUCUUAAUCUAGAAUAUGGGAGAGGUGGAUGGAAUUUCUGGUGUAGGGGUAUAAUCCGUAGAGAUCAGAAGGAAUACCGAUUGCGAAGGCGAUCUACUAGAACAUUAUUGACGCUGAGACGCGAAAGCGUGGGGAGCAAACAGGAUUAGAUCCCCGGUAGUC